GUUUAAAUGUUUAUAUUUUUGGUAAUUUUAUCAUAGUCAGGUAUUAGUGAUAUUUAUAUACACAACUUAGUCUAUUAAAGCGGUUCUGGCACUCCCACCCUCCAAAAUGAAAGAAAAAGUAUUUCAUGAAGAUAAAAUAUUUAUGAAAUACUUACAUUGAGUAGGAAUUUUACUAAUUUGUCUUAUGGAUUUUUCCUACAAUUAACAAAAAGUCAGAACUACAGUAGUCAAGCCCCCAGCCAUAACUAGUGACUACUGUGGGGAAAAGGCUCUGUAUAUUUGCACUCCCACGGGAAGCUGAAGAGGAUCUUACAGGGAAGAAGAUGGUAUCGACCACUAGGUAAAACUACAGGUAAGUAAAACCUACAUUUCACUGAAUACCUUGGCCACUGCACAGCAAGCGGCAAUGUCGCGAAAUAAGAGAGUGUUUAGAAAAAUAACCAAAACUGUAACAUUAAUAUAUUCCAACUGUACUUUGUCCUACAAUUUUUAAGUCGGUUUUCCACCGCAGUUGUAUGGUCAGUGAAUACUCCCUUUAGUGUUCAUUAGAGUAAAUCAUUUUGCACCGAAAACAAAAUGCAUCUUGUAAAUUGCAGCAGUGUUUUAAUAACUCCUGCUUAUUACCAAUUGUAGGGCAGAAAUAUUUCUAACAAUGGACUAAAUUUACAGACCUUGAUCUAGACAUAGCUGUGAAUUUAGCAUUACUACUUCACUAGCAUACAUAUGCUAACAUAUAUAUUUUACAUUUACCAAACAGCUAACAUUUGUACAUGCUGUCCAAUGUCACAGGAAAAUGUAACCUGGCUGAAUGUAUUAAGGCAGAGGGAAAUUGGUGUAUUAAUGCAGUUCCUGUAAAACCCUGAAUUAAAUAAUUCCCAUGUAAUGUCCAAACGCAUGAUGAAAUUAGAGCUGACUAGGAAAAAGCUGUCAAGCCUAAAUAACUGGUGUGUAAGAUGCCACAAAUUCUUUUUUUAAUGUUAUCUGUGAAUUGUUUUAUUAUAUAAAAGAUGGGGACAGUGUCUCUCAGGGGUUCUCCUUGUAAAGGCCCAUUUUUUAUUUUUUUAUUUUUUUUACCUAAGUGCAUUUCAGUGGCAUGUACUUGACUGGUUAUAUGCUUCAUCAACUUACCUUAACUGCCUCUUUACCUCUUUUAUAAUAUAUCUGGUACAAUAGUUUGGUUUUAUACAAGUUACAUGUGUCAUAUAUUUAACAUUAAGCACAACUUAGAAAAUGUAAAUACAUAACAGUCUGUAUGUUUUAGUACUUUGCAUGACUGCUAUGUAUUUCUGUUGGGGGACAUUGUGACAAAUAUACAAUUGAGACUAAAACUGCUGGAAAACAUGUUUUUUUUUUCAUGUUUGUAAAUCUCUGCAUGUUGAGCAUGUCCUGUCUGUUCUAUCUCUAUAACUGUUUAGUGCUAAAUACAAAUGUAAGUCCUGUAAUCAGAAGCAGAUGUAACAACUGCUGAAAUAUUUUGAAAUGUACUUAAUGUUAGCUUGUUACUUUUAAGUAUAAC